ensembl:ncRNA Y38H6A.6 ncRNA
AAUAAUAGGACAGAUGCUUAUCUUGUUAGUGUUAUGACACCUCUAGGAAUUGG